rfam:Phialocephala subalpina strain TAMH 11012 genome assembly, contig: PAC_scaffold_026
GGACCGCUGGCGCAACGGCAGCGCGUCCGAUUCCAGAUCGGAAGGUUGUCCGUUCAAAUCGGGCGUGGUUCA